rnacentral:rRNA from 1 species
CCCGCACAAGCGGUGGAGCAUGUGGUUUAAUUCGAUGAUACGCGAGGAACCUUACCUGGGCUCAAAUGUAUGUUGACGUAUUCUGAAAGGGAUACUUCUUCGGACAAUAUACAAGGUGCUGCAUGGUUGUCGUCAGCUCGUGCCGUGAGGUGUCGGGUUAAGUCCCAUAACGAGCGCAACCCCUAUCAUUAGUUGCCAUCAGGUCAAGCUGGGGACUCUAAUGAAACUGCCUACGCAAGUAGUGAGGAAGGUGGGGAUGACGUCAAAUCAGCACGGCCCUUACGUCCAGGGCUACACACGUGCUACAAUGGCCGGUACAAAGGGCAGCUACCUGGUGACAGGAUGCAAAUCUCCAAAGUCGGUCUCAGUUCGGAUCGGAGUCUGCAACCCGACUCCGUGAAGUUGGAUUCGCUAGUAAUCGCGCAUCAGCCAUGGCGCGGUGAAUACGUUCCCGGGCCUU